rfam:Triticum aestivum genome assembly, contig: Triticum_aestivum_CS42_TGACv1_scaffold_093357_2AL
GUCAUACUCCCUCCGUCCGGAAAUACUUGUCAUUGAAAUGGAUGUAUCUAGAUGUAUUUUAGUUCUAGAUACAUCCAUUUUCAUCCAUUUGGAUGACAAGUAUUUCCGGACGGAGGGAGUACAUC